UACGGAGGGUGCGAGCGUUAAUCGGAAUUACUGGGCGUAAAGCGCACGCAGGCGGUCGUGUAAGUCGGAUGUGAAAGCCCUGGGCUUAACCUGGGAACUGCAUUCGAAACUGCACGGCUAGAGUAUGGGAGAGGGAAGCGGAAUUUCCGGUGUAGCGGUGAAAUGCGUAGAUAUCAGGAGGAACAUCGGUGGCGAAGGCGGCGACCUGGACUUAGACUGACACUGAGGCACGAAAGCGUGGGGAGCAAACAGG
rnacentral:rRNA from 1 species